rnacentral:ribozyme from 1 species
UCUUUACACAUUCCUUGUUGUUUCUCCUCCUUUUCCUCUCUUUUUUUUUCUCUUUCUCCUCCUCGCACCCUUCUAGAUUAGCGAGACUUUGUCAGUGUGAUCAGGCAUAGUACAGAUAACCUGAAAAUUCAACGAACCCCCUCUGGCGUCUCAAUUUUUAAAAAAAUCUAAAAUUUUAAGAUUUCCUGACAAAAAAAA